rnacentral:rRNA from 1 species
UGCCAGCCGCCGCGGUAAUACGGAGGGUGCAAGCGUUAUCCGGAAUCACUGGGUUUAAAGGGUGCGUAGGCGGCCUAAUCAGUCAGAGGUGAAAUCCCACAGCUUAACUGUGGCAUGUCCUUUGAUACUGUUAGGCUUGAAAUAGGAUGAGGUCGGCGGAAUGUGACAUGUAGCGGUGAAAUGCAUAGAUAUGUCAUAGAACACCAAUUGCGAAGGCAGCUGACUAGUCCUCAUUUGACGCUGAGGCACGAAAGCGUGGGGAGCGAACAGGAUUAGAUA